GAACGCUGGCGGCGUGCCUAACACAUGCAAGUCGAACGGGGUAAGUGAAAUAUCGGAUGGAACUUAACUAGUGGCGGACGGGUGAGUAACGCGUGGAUAACCUGCCUCACACAGGGGGAUAGCAGCUGGAAGCGGCUGGUAAUACCGCAUAAGACCACGGUGCCGCAUGGCAGAGUGGUAAAAGAAUUAUCGGUGUGAGAUGGAUCCGCGUCUGAUUAGCCAGUUGGCGGGUAACGGCCACCAAAGCGACGAUCAGUAGCCGGCCUGAGAGGGUGAACGGCCACAUUGGGACUGAGACACGGCCCAAACUCCUACGGGAGGCAGCAGUGGGGAAUAUUGCACAAUGGGCGCAAGCCUGAUGCAGCAAACCGCCGCGUGAGUGAAGAAGUAUUUCGGUAUGUAAAGCUCUAUCGGCAGGGAAGAAAGGCCCGAAAGGGAGAUGACGGUACCUGACUAAGAAGCCCCGGCUAACUACGUGCCAGCCGCCGC
rnacentral:rRNA from 1 species